rnacentral:rRNA from 1 species
AACCCCUAUUGUUAGUUGCCAUCAUUCAGUUGGGCACUCUAGCGAGACUGCCGGUAAUAAACCGGAGGAAGGUGGGGAUGACGUCAAAUCAUCAUGCCCCUUAUGACCUGGGCUACACACGUGCUACAAUGGUUGGUACAACGAGUUGCGAGUCGGUGACGGCGAGCUAAUCUCUUAAAGCCAAUCUCAGUUCGGAUUGUAGGCUGCAACUCGCCUACAUGAAGUCGGAAUCGCUAGUAAUCGCGGAUCAGCACGCCCGCGUCAUCGUUCCGGCCUU